GCAUGUUCUUGGAGAUUCUGUAUAUGACUACAGUGUCCGCAGAUGCUUUCAUGUCUGAAGAGGGCUAGUGAAGGACAAAGAAGAAGAGCUAUGUAUCAUAAAGAUGAUUUGAAUUCUCUCUGAAUUCCAUGUCAAAUGAGAAGAGAUCCUCCCCCCACCCCGCCGAGAGAUAGAAGUAUGCUGGCCAAACUGCAACAUUAUGUCUCACCAUGGCCGGGUUCAGACAUAGCAGCACACCUGUAGUUCCCGCAGCCUGAGAGAUGAAGGGAAGUUUAUUUAUUUUUUGUAUUAAUUAAUUAUAUAAAAUAAAAUAAUUUUUAUUUAUUUUCA